UCAUGACAUUUCGAAUCCCAACACCACAUGACUGGGGGGGGGCCUUUUGCGGCCACCAUAGCAGACGACGCCACAAGCCACUUUCUAAAUCAAGUCAAGUGGCGUUCAGAUUCACGUCAGCGUCUUCUCCCUUCCCCAUCUGCACCUCACUCGAGAUUACACGGAUAGCGCCUAUACCGAUCGUCUGGAGCAGGCAUUUUCAUUCACUACUCAAGCUCCGCCCCCCCCCGUCGCCAUCCCUUCCUUGAGAAUUUUCAACUCCAUCGUCACGGAAAAAAACAUUACAGGGGAAAACAUGACAAAAAAAGCGGCAUGUCAAGUGGUUUUUCGAGGGCCGCGGGCGCGUGUACAAUAUUCAGCAUGCACUUGUUGACUCAUUUUUCCCACCCGUCCGAAUUAUUACCUGAGUUUUCAAGACGGGCGUAUUUUUUCCUGAGGUGAGCCGACAAGCGCAUUAAAAAAAAAAAACAACUUAUAAAAGGAGAGGUAUUUCGAAAGAGACAUAUAAUGUGUGUGUGUGUGUGUGUGUGAGACAUACUGUAUGUUAUUGAUGCCCUGUAAAAUAUUCGUAAAAGGGAUGGGCAUUGGAAUUGAUAGACGGUCAUGGAAAAUGAAGGAUAAUUCAUUCAAUUUAAUCAUUUUAAUUGACUUGAACGAUGGGAGAAUGUUUUGGGAAUGUUCUGAACUCCUAUUUCUAUUCAGGUCUCUCCUAGGCGUGGAUGUGGGCCCUGAGGAAAAUGUCCCGUUUCACUCCAUUUUGACACAGUUACUCAAUUCCAGCCAAUGCAGUCCAGGGUUCAGCAAGCUUUUUGAAACGAAGCGCUCCUUCUUGGCUCCCCGAUGAACGGGGAGGGCGAGCGCUUCGAUAGGAUGCGCUUUUGAAAGAAACUGGCUCGAGCUACCUUCGUACGUUCUAAUUCAUGCUAUUCAUUUCGGAGAAGACACCGGUCGCCUUAGCGAUUUCGCACAAUAAUUACCAAACGGAUCAAUUGGCCCCACUUGAUGAUAAAUAGCUGCCGGACGUUCACAUUUUGAAAAAAAAGAUGGCUUCGACAAGAUUCCCGGGGAGUCACGGUCUCUCCUAUUUUUGGAAGAGGCGCGCGGGCUACUCAUGUGUGGUCCUUGAUGGCUCCCCGGUGCCCGCGCUCACCCCGUCGGUGACCCCCGACCUAGUCCGCGCCCGGCCGGGACCGUCGACUGCGCCGAACGCUAAUCGAAGGGCACCGAUCGAGUUCCCCUGGCCGUUGGAAGGCCGACUUGAGAAUUCCGGAUGCAAAUAAAUACGUAGCGUGAUUCGUUUUCUCUCUCUAACACAACAAAGAAUAAUUUGACAUAUACAUAUAUAUUAAGUGGGGUCUCCUGUAAAACGGGAGUAUAGCGCCGGCUGAUUUAGCUAGCUAGUUCUACAUACGGGCUCCUCCGCGCAGGUUUGGCCGUUUCCGGCACCGAUGACCCUACACUUGGGAGGGCGGCGUCGUCUUCGAUAACGAUCGCUUCGGAUCUUUGCGCGCGCGUUGGGUUCGGCACGCUAACAAACGGAGUAGCCGAUAGCGUGGCGCGUUCUGGAACAUCCUCGCUCACCGCGACGGAGGUACCGUCGGGGGUGCCGCUUGGCG